rnacentral:rRNA from 1 species
GUGGGGAAUAUUGGACAAUGGGCGAAAGCCUGAUCCAGCCAUGCCGCGUGUGUGAAGAAGGUCUUCGGAUUGUAAAGCACUUUAAGUUGGGAGGAAGGGCAGUAAGUUAAUACCUUGCUGUUUUGACGUUACCGACAGAAUAAGCACCGGCUAACUUCGUGCCAGCAGCCGCGGUAAUACGAAGGGUGCAAGCGUUAAUCGGAAUUACUGGGCGUAAAGCGCGCGUAGGUGGUUUUGUAAAGUGGAGGUGAAAUCCCCGGGCUCAACCUGGGAACUGCCUCCAAAACUGCAUGACUAGAGUACGGUAGAGGGUAGUGGAAUUUCCUGUGUAGCGGUGAAAUGCGUAGAUAUAGGAAGGAACACCAGUGGCGAAGGCGACUACCUGGACUGAUACUGACACUGAGGUGCGAAAGCGUGGGGAGCAAACAGGAUUAGAUACCCGAGUAGUCC